rnacentral:sRNA from 1 species
GCCAGGUGCGGUGGCUCACACCUGUAAUCCCAGCACUUUGGGAGGCUGAGGUGGGAGGAUUGCUUGAGUCCAGGAGUUCAAGACCAGCCUGGACAACAUAGUGAGACUUUGCCUCUACAAAUAAUAAAAAAAUUAGCUGGGCAUGGUGGCACAUGCCUGUGGUCCCAGCUAUUUGGGAGGCCAAGGCAGGAGGAUCACUUGAGCCCAAGUAGUCAAGACUGCAGUGAGUUGUGAUUGCACCACUGCACUCCAGCCUGGGCAGCAGAGCAAGACCCCAUCUAA